rnacentral:rRNA from 1 species
CCUACGGGGUGCAGCAGUGGGGAAUAUUGCACAAUGGGGGAAACCCUGAUGCAGCGACGCCGCGUGAAGGAAGAAGUAUUUCGGUAUGUAAACUUCUAUCAGCAGGGAAGAAAAUGACGGUACCUGACUAAGAAGCCCCGGCUAACUACGUGCCAGCAGCCGCGGUAAUACGUAGGUGGCAAGCGUUAUCCGGAUUUACUGGGUGUAAAGGGCGUGUAGGCGGGAAAGCAAGUCAGAUGUGAAAACCAUGGGCUCAACCUGUGGCCUGCUUUUGAAACUGUUUUUCUUGAGUACUGGAGAGGCAGACUGAAUGCCUAGUGUAGCGGUGAAAUGCGUAGAUAUUAGGAGGAACACCAGUGGCGAAGGCGGUCUGCUGGACAGCAACUGACGCUGAGGCGCGAAAGCGUGGGGAGCAAACAGGAUUAGAUACCCUUGUAGUC